UUUAACUUGGCAUUUAUAACUUGUGUCAAAAAUAGAAACUUUGUUCAGCGUGGAAGGUACAAGAGUUAUCAUCUUCUAAAGGGAGAUAAAGAGAAGGCACGGCUUUGCUGGAGUAAAACUCUGCCAAACUUCUUUGACUUUGAGAAGGGUACAGACAAGGUUGACAGUGUCAAUGCAUCCAACAUGAUUUAUCAGGAGUUUCAGAAAGCCCUCAAUAAAGUUCCACAUGACAGACGUCCGUUUAAGGCAAAAGCUACAGAGAUCCAGGGUAGGGCAUGGAAGUGAAUAAAGAGCUAGUUAAGAAACAGAACACAGAGGGGCUACUUACAUGAUGAAGCUACAUUGCCUUCCAGAUAAGGUUGGUAAUGGCUAUGCUUUCUGACAUAAUUGUGUUCGUUUUCAGAGUUGAGAGAGACAUCUGAAAAUGUUUAUUGUGAGAGCUUUGCAGAAACCAGAGAAACUAGGUGCUUAAUAGCCUAGACAAGAUUAAUUUGGAGUUAAACUGCCCCUAGCCUGGUUAUUGUUUUUACAGAUUGUCGCAGUAUUUGAUCAAGAUGGGAGGCAGAAAAUAAACACUUGCAGUGAACCAGCAAGUCGGCUCCUUAACGGUAGAGACAGAUGCAACUGCUAAGAUGGAGCUGAUAUACUUCAGUGAUGCAGUAGCAGAGAAAUACUGAGCUGGGAGUUGGGAGACCUGGGUUUUAGUGCUGGGUGUGCUGCCAGGACUCAUUAUGCGACCUUUGGCUUUCAGAUAGACCAAUAAUUCUCAAAUUGUCUCUCCUGGAUCUAUUUUCUAGAUGCUUUGUAGUGACCAGUUGGAAGGAGAUUCAGAAAGUUCCUGAUACUGUGGGGCCAUCUUAGCUCCACCUCCUGGGUUGAGCUUUCGAGAAAUUUAGGAAUUCUAUGAAGCAGAGGUCCAUGACUAAGAGGAAAUGCAGAGCAAAAAAAAAAAGUGUUCCUGAUACCCAGGGGGAUACAGUGAGCAGGAGGAAGAGAAGGAAGAAGAAGCAAAGGAGAACUGGAUUACCAACAGUGCAGUUUGUGUGCAUCUGCUGCCAAUUUGAAGGAGCAACUAAUUCACAAACUCUAUGGAAAGCACGUUGAACUGUUCUAGGAUUUUUCUCAUGCUUCAUGAAAACAGAGAUCAUAACUGGGAAACCAACUGUAAAAUUAAAAGAACUAGAUGUUGCCAAUAAAGACCAUCAUUUCAGGAAAAUAAAUUUGUUU
ensembl:lncRNA